UCAAUCCUUUCCAUUUAGAAUCAAAUAGUGAAUAAUUCUUUUAAGUACAAAUGAUAAGCAUCUGUUGAAGAAAAAUAUCGUUCACAUGAUGAGAGAAAGAAGUUGGUUUAAUGUUUAGAAUGUUGAGUGGAAAACUAAUUGAUUGAAAUUAUGCUUAGAAUUUGGCAGGAUUCACUAGAAUUCAGAGAAUAAAUGUAGAACUUAUUUAUUAGUGAAAUUUGCAAAGAGGUUAGAACUAGUAGCCUAACAUUGGUAGGCUUGAGGACUCACCCCUUUGACGGAAGCCUCAAAACUUUUAGGGUGAGGUUGAAGCACACAAUUCUGUUGUAGACUUACAUUAACUUCCUCUUCUUUCAUAAGAAUAUCCGGAUCAGGGGUUUAAUAUAACAGAAACUGGUCCUCCAAAAGUCAAGCCAAAAGGUUGAGGCAUGCUGGAGAAAUUUUUAGGUCCAUGGAGUUUAACUGAAGUAGGAUCCUUAAACCAACCAGAAACAUUUUAAAACUUGCUAAAAUUCAAAGAAAGAUCAAAUUGCAUUUGAUUUGUCUGGAUGUCUAAUAUGACAUAUCAAAGAUGUGGUUUUCCUGAUCUACUAAUAAUCUUCGGUUAAAGAAAAUAUGAAAGUCCUUACUAGGGAACCUUGACUUGGUGAAGCGCAACUAGGAAUCUUGGUUUUAAAUCAUUGUUCUUUCUUAGAAACAUGCAAUGAGCAAUUAAAAAGAAAAGAUCAAACAAAACAAAAAAGAGAGAAAGAUAACUAUCUUGAGAAAUUUUUGUUUCUUCUCAAAUUUUUAGGAAGAAUGGGAAGUGCUAUUCUUAAGAUCAGCGAGAUCUACCAGAUUGGUGGGAAAAACAUCAUCCUCAAUUUUUAUAUGGCUGGCCAGGCCAUAUCAUAAGCAUCCAUAUCUUGAGAAAUGACUGAGUUUUAUGCUGGCUGUCAAUCUACUGCAACCCUCCUCUUUUUUCCGGGCUUGGAACUGGCUAUGUUUUGCUAAGCGUAUAUGGGUGGAGUUUUUAAUUGAUCAUAAGGCCAUGAGCAAUUAAAAUUAGUUGAACAAGAAAUAAAAUGACAAAUGAUAUCUGGACUAUUACCAAUAAAUAAACUCGGAGGGAUCUUUGUUAAUAUUAAGAAAUUUUUAUUUCUUUCCCCUUUAAUUGAUUGGUCAUAUUUCUCAUCCUCAUAUAUGAAUGUUUGUUAAUGCAUGUUACAGAUUGACAUGGUAAAUGACAAUG
rnacentral:misc_RNA from 1 species